GUGAUAGGGGAGCUUGUAUACUCCUUGGAGUUGUUCCUGCCAGUUUACCUGUUUCUCUAUCCUUUCUUCAAAGCCCGGAAAAUCUAGAAGGUACAAGUAUGCCUAUUUCUCUUUCAGCCCAGCUCUGCUUGCCUCUCAUUUCCGUUCUGCCUGACUCAUCAGUACCUGAAGCCUCGGAAUCCCCUCUCCCGGAGGAAGCCAUGUUUUACCACUUCAGACGUACUCAAGUUCUCUUCCCCAAGACUCAGAGCUGCAAGAACAGGAGCCGGCUACUCCUGAGUUUCUCAAGGAAAGUAACUCUCAAGCUCUGAGGAAGUGCUAGUCAAUGCAGAGAAUCGUAUCCAUCGCUCCUGCUCUUGUUUCUGUCAUCAAAUUUUGAUACCUUCAAAAUGAGGUGAGUGGCACUCUUUAGACAAGAAGGAAGAUGAGAGGUGAAGCCAUCGUCUUCUAAUGAGCCCCAUCAUGUGCUGUCUGGGGCUCUUGGACACAGAGACAUUCAGAAGAGCUGUGGCUUUACCAUCCAAGGGUGGUAUGGUUAUAAUGAAGCCACUGGAGUCAAGCAAUUCGUUGCACCUUAGUAAAUUUGGGCACUCUUUUAUCCAUCAUGUAGAUUACUGGGGUUGGAAUGGGUCUUCUUGACAGUGAGUCAAUACUGGAGAUUCUGUGGAUCCAUUUACUGACUAGUAUUGAGUAUUCUCUGGACACACAUCCUUAACUUCAAAAAUAAUUUCUUACAUUGUGCUAGGUGCUAAGGAUACACAGAUGGAAGGCAUCAUUCUUCCAGAUGCUCACUGUUGGGUCUGACUCCACAGCACCGUGUUUAGCGAUGAUGAGCACACGGGAGAAGUGUAAGCUGUGGUUCCUGCUGUCAACCUACGUUAAAUGUGGAGGAACACAAUCCCUGAGUUGGAAAGGUUCUCAGAGGACAGCAGUGUCUAUGUCAUUUUCAAUCAUGUAUCCCCAGCACCUGCCUCCUGCUAAGCACAGACCAAGCCCUGUGUGUGAUCACUGAGGGGCUCUAGGCCAGCCUCCCACCCAACUUGGAGCCUCCCUCCAGUGUCUAGUGUCUGCUUGAGGAUGUUCAGAUACAGGAAUCUCUCCACCACCCUGGCAGCCCAUUCUGUUGUUGAAUCGUUCUAGUAACUAUGAAGUUACCAGUUUCCUUCGUGUCAAGUCAACACCUGCCUACCUUGUAACCUCACCAAUGGAUCCAGAUUCUCCUCUCAGGAACUACCUAGACUGAAUCAGUUCCCUGGCCUGUAUGCUGGAUUUUAGGUAUUUAGAAACAUCCAUGUUGCAUCCUGUUAUCCUCCUCUGACCUCCAUCAUCUCUGUUCCUUCAGUUACUUCUCAGGUGACUUUGUUUUGAGACCACCUCAUCAUCUUAUUGGAUAGGCAAGACUGGCACCAAUGGUUAUAAAGUGGGAUGAAUCGGGGCCAGCCCCAUGGCAUAGUGGUUAAGUUUGGUGCAUUCCACUUUGGCAGCCCAGGUUUGCGAGUUUGGAUCCCAGGCAUGGACCUACACCACUCGUUGGCCACGCUGUGGCAGUGACCCACAUAUAAAGUAGAGGAAAAUUGGCACAGAUGUGAGCUCAGGGCUAAUCUUCCUCGAGCAAAAAAAUGAGGAAGAUUGGCAACAGAUAUUAGCUCAGGGCUAAUAUUCCUCAGCCAAAAAAAAAAAAAAAAGGGCUGAAUCAUCUUGUGAUUGGGAGUCGAACUAUAUAGCUCAGUGGGUGUCAACCUGUGUACGCACAUGUGUCCACCAGUGAGGGACAAGUCAGAAAAUACCAGGAAAGGAGGUAGGAAAGGCCAAUUGCUACUCAUAAGACAGGAGGAUUUCUCCAGGUUUCCAGAGAUUUAUCUGGACUCUCAAAGGAUUAACAGUGAAACCAACAAAGAGAGAGGCCAUUCUCCAUAGAUCAUCUAGAUUAGACUUCAUGACUGUUGAGAGGGAAAGUGUAUGAGGCUAUUGGAAGGCCUGUAAGAGGGGACCUAGUCUCCACAUGUCUUGAAUCCGGCAAGGCUCUCAGCUGGUGCCAUUUCUUUACUACUUGUUGUCUGAUCUCCAGAAAACACUUAGGGACGUGGAAAGUCUUUGCUUCUGGUGUUCUUAGGACAUUAGAAGGUGAAAACUUGAAACUGAGAAGGUGCUGAUCAUAGGGCCAGGGCAGGUAAUGUGGGCGAGUUUCUCUUUUGCACUGGGAUUGUGCAACAGGCAGCCAAACCAUUUGGUGGGCUAAGCAACAAUUGAGCCUCCAGGACUCAGAUUCUAAUGGAGACGGAGGCAGUGGGAGGAUGGGUACUAGCAGGAAGGUAAGGGUGAGUAAGAUAGAGAGGGGCCGGAUGCAUGGGAGCAGCUUAGGUUGAUUAGGAGCCUCGCAUUUAAAGUCAGGACAGUCCCUGGUGCCGCUGUUUACCAGCUAUGGGACCUAACGAGAUUUAAUCCUGCUAAGCCUUAGUCUCUUCAUUUGUUAAAUAUGGGCAAUAAAACUUGGUUAGUAGAGGUGAGCUGAGGAUUUAGUGAGAUAACAUUUGCAAAACGCUGAGCCUAGGGCCUGGCACAUGGUAAGCUAUCAAUAAACAGGAGUUCUUGAUAACCCCAAUAACACAUGAGUACUAAAAGCAAAAAAAUCAUGGGGACAUGAUGUGACUAAGGUGUGGUCUUUGCCUUCGAUUAGCCUAUACAGUGGGAGUGUAACCUAGUGGCUAAGAGGAAGAGCUCCUUAGCUUUAUCAUCUUUGGUGAGUUACUUAACCUCACGGAGUUGGUUUACUCAUCUGUGAAAGGCGUAAUAAUAGCAGUAAAGGAUUGUUGAGAGUAUUAAAUGAGACGGCACACUUAACAUUCCUGGCAUCAAGUAAACAUCGAUAUUACCCCCGAGUCGGAGAGAAGCAGCAGAGCAGGCGGAAGAAUACGAGUGCAGCCUUUGCACCAACAUGCUGGCAAAGAGGCACCGUAUGUUAGCAACUUCUGGCAACAGGAGGGAACAGAAAGAGAAAGGGAGGUAGCAGUAUCAUGGAAAACAUCUGAUAGAUUCUUCCCUGUUCCUUGUGCUAGUGGCCAACCAUGGAAAUCAACAAGGUAGACUCAGAGAUAAGGGGCAGUAGGUAUAGGUGAGGGUGGCUGGGAGGCUCGGGGAGCAGAGCCCUCAGCUACGUGCCGGCAAGGUGGAGAGCCAGGCAUGUGGGUGCUGGAGCGCUGAGAUGGGGCUCAGGAAGGUUCUCUGGGAGGGGAUUCAAACGGGUAUUUAAAUGAUUGCAUUUGCCCAGUGGGCCUCUCCGUUUCCCCUGGAGUUUCCCAGGGUAAUCAUCUGGCCGGCUGACUGGGCACGUGUUAGAAGUGCCCUGCGCUUGGUGUAAUAAUGCUCGGCUAUAGCCAUCUUGAAAUUUUUAAUAAUUUUUAAACAAAGGGCCCUGAGUUUCCAUUUUGCAUCGAGCAGUGAAAUCACGUAGCCUGUUGAAAUCACGUAGUCCUGUUGAUCUUAAGUGGUACAUAGGGGAACCAAGUGCUGUAGAUAUUCACGGGAGGAGAGAAUCAUUCCCAGCUGAGGAUGGGCAGGGGGAGAGCAAAGAAGGCAGCAUGGAUGAGGACGCAUUUGAAUUUGACCCUGAAGGAUGGGCAGGAUUUGAACAGGUAGAAAUGAGAGUAUGGCUUGGAAGAAAUAUGUUGGCAAAGUCAAGAGAUGGAGAAGUAUGGACUGUGCUUGAGGAGUGGUAAGAAAUCCUUGUGAAUGUGAAGUCCUGUUCCUGAGCUGUUCCUGUGGGCUCCUUCAGGGCAGGGCCAUUCUCAGCUGGCCUUUCUAAGGGCAGCCUUUUUCUCAAGGUGUUUCAUAGUCCUUUCCUCCCAGUACCAUUCUGCUAGGUACCUGUCCAACUAAUAAAUUAAAUUUAGCCAUGUUAUUCAUAGAAAUCACCAAGCAAGGCAGGGGGCGGGGAGAGGCAGAUUUAACAAAGAAUCAAAUAGAAAUUCUUAAUUGAAAAGUAUGGUUAUUGAAAUAAAAUGAAAACUACUUAAAUAGGUCAAUAAUAGAUCAAAUACAGACCAGGAGGAAAUUCAGUCGGGAAUCCCCCUCGUCUACCUUCCUCUAUCACCAUCUUGUAUAAUGCAAGUUCUGUGUGGAGAUUUGCACAGCAGGCCAGUGGUGGAGGCAGAAUUCCAACCAGAUGCACAUUCUGUCCUCUGCCCACUCCCCCACACUGCCAUGGCCCCCAUUUCAUUGCCUAGUGGUGGGCUUCCCCAAACAGAAGCUUGGAGUGGUCCAGAAAACCGUGCAAGCAUUGACACUCAUAAACUCACCUGUAGUCAUUCCCUGGCAACACACGAGAGACAACUCAAAAGGAAAAAGGCAUUUUUCUUUUACACGUCUCACGAUCUCUAUCUUCAAUCUUACUAUCCUGAAAUUUGCAUUUGAAAUUUUAUUUCUGUUAAAAACAUGGAUCAUGAAUGACACACCAAUAUACAUUUUGUUAUGUUCCCAUUUGAUUUUCAUAAAUAUUAAACUUCCCCACUUGAUCAACA